CAACUCUAGGGCGUGGGGAUGUGCCCAUUUUAAUGUAUUCCAAGAAACUUUGUGCUCCCGAUAUGGUCAACCACGCUCUUUCAACCCGAUGAGUAUUGGAGGGAAUAUAUCUUGCGGGUGCACACUCCGUUCCGCGAGGAAAACGAUUCUCUGCUCUUGCUCCUACUCGAACAAGGUGCUGGCAUCGACAGUACCUUCGCCACUGGCGCAACCCCGUUGUGGGUUGCAGUGAACCAGCCAAAUACACACCUUUCUCAACGUUUGAUAGCCAAUGGGGCUGAUGUCCAUUUUGCUAAUGAUGCCGGCAACACAAUUCUGCAUGUGGCCGCGACUGGUUACAACGAGGAGGUUAUCCGCUCUCUUCUUGUCAAGGGAACAAAUGUUCAUUUGAAGAAUGUCGUAGGGUGUAUGUACCCUUUUUCAUGGAGCUGCCAGAGGAAGAUUGGUUAACCAUAUUACGGAAUACGCUGAGGCGAUAAAGCUUCAAUAUACACAUCUGGUGACUGGCCUUGAACACGCCAGAGACAGCUCCAGUUUAGGUCGCAUUGUCGUCCGUUGUCCAGGUUUUAUCCCGAAGUACGAAAGUGGUUACCCGUUGCCUCCCAGUUCAAAUGAUUAAUAUCAUCCAUCUCAGCCGAACAAUCAAACAAAAUCGGAAAGGGAUUUUGAGCUACGUCUCUGUGUACUUCGAAUCCGAGUCGGUGAUAGACCAGUUCUGUUUAAACACUGGCAAGGGAUAUAGACACCUGCCGGAAAGGAAAACUGAGAAUCAUUUUUAGGCAAAGAAAGAAGUAAUGGGCGAAUAUGCAGAUGGAAUGGAAGCAGGUCUGCGAAUGUGCUGGCCAUUUCGCUUCCACAAAUGCUCGCCCUCUAUAAAUAAGCCAUGAGAUGUGAUCAAUAUCGCAGCAGCUGGGGACCCUAGUUUUAGGGGCUGAAGGAACA
rnacentral:sRNA from 1 species